rnacentral:tRNA from 1 species
GGCAGGAUGGCCGAGUGGUUAAGGCGUUGGACUUGGAUGUAUAUCCGCGUGGGUUCAAACCCCACUCCUGGUA